rnacentral:rRNA from 1 species
GCUUAGGGGAGAGACCGGGAUUUGGUACCCCGUUAUUCCUAAGUGUAAAUUAUUAGGGGGACUACGAACACAUGUUUAAAACCUAAGAGACCUGGCAGUGCCAUUAUACAAAUUAGGGGAACUUGUCGCUUAAUUCGAUGAACCUCGUUUUAUACUACCCUUUCUGUGUUUUUUACUACUGUAAAAUGAUUUAGUUGGUUUAUUGCCGUCGGAGAAAGUUCAUAUCGUGAGGGGAUGAAAAUGUGGCUCAAUUUAGUGCUGUGGUUGUUCUAUAGCGAUGUAAGCGAAGUCAGGUCAAGAUCCCGCUUAUGAAAGGGGGUUUGAUGAGUUACAUUAUACAGGGUUAUUAUCCAUUGUAAGUUGAAAAUUGAAAUGUUCUUACAUAGGUGGACUUAAUAGUAAUUGGAUCAAACAAGGUGCAGUGAAUUUUAUGUGGUGUGUACAAAUCGCCC